UACAGAGGUCCCGAGCGUUGUUCGGAUUCACUGGGCGUAAAGGGUGCGUAGGUGGUGAGGUAAGUCGGAUGUGAAAUCUCCGGGCUUAACCCGGAAACUGCAUUGGAAACUACCUUGCUGGAGGGUUUGAGGGGGACUGGAAUUCUCGGUGUAGCAGUGAAAUGCGUAGAUAUCAAGUGGAACACCAGUGGCGAAGGCGAGUCCCUGGACAACUCCUGACACUGAGGCACGAAAGCUAGGGGAGCAAACAGG
rnacentral:rRNA from 1 species